AUCGCAGUGGCGGAAUAGGUAGACGCAAUGGGCCGGUAAGCCCAGUAACGUGUUGUGUGGUGCAAAUCCACACCUGCGAUA
rnacentral:tRNA from 1 species